rnacentral:lncRNA from 13 species
AUUAUUUACGUCGUUAGGAUAAGGUUCAAUUUGAAAAGAUACACUGACAACUGUUACUGUGAAUAUGGAAUACAUUUAUAUAAUAGCAAUUUUACAAUUGCAUCUGUUGUGUCUUAUAAUUGCAAAAUACUUCAUAAGACUAAUGAACCGACGAAGAUUCAUACUUGCAAUAUAUACAUUAUUUUAUAUAUCUGCAAUUAAUAUUGUGCUACUUGAGAUAAUUAAUGAAAGGAUUAAUAAAAUGUCAUUAUCAGAAAUUUUAAAAGUUCCAAACGUUAUUUUAGUAUGGAAUAACAGAACUGUACUUUUUGAAAAAUUAAAAACGAACUAUUAUCUUAGAUAAAAACCACGAAUUUGUUUUAGACGACGAUUGACGUGCUGCGCAAUCAAAUUUAGCAUGUUUGUACCACAGACAGAUAACAUAACAUAAAACUAUGUGACUAUUACAAGUACAAAAAACAAAUACAUUUUCCAAAAUUGCGCAGCUCUUGAUAAAAUUAUCUUUAAUUUUUUGGAAACAUGAACGCAAAGCGCGAGAUUGCGUCUUCUAAGAAUCUCCGGAAUCGUUAACUGCUAUUAACGAUAUUAUUGAUAGACUCUAUAAUAGAAAAUAAUAAGCAUUAUAAACAAUAACAAAGUAUUAAACGAUGCUUGCAUUUUAUCUUGCUGAUAAAAUUUACAGUUUUUAUAUUCGCUAAUAAUUAAUUUAAAUAUAUAAUGCUGAAAUUAUAAUAAAGUUUUUAGAGGUUUUAAUGAAGUAAGAUAACAUAGAAAGAAUCUUUGGAAAAAUUUUUAAGUAACCGGAAAUUAAAAACGGAGAUAGGUCCAAAUUGUACUGUGUACCAAGCCAAUGAUAAAAAAGUAAAUUGGAAGUGCAUUUAUUUUAAUAGCGAUAUUUAGCCUGAUACGUAUAAGAUACGUCCAUCUGUAAUUUUCCUGUACACACAAAUUAUUACAGUCCUGCUUUCGACAGAUACUUUUUCAGAUUUUCUAAAUAGACAAAUUCGAGAAGCAAUUGUUGCAGUUUAAAAUUUCGCAUUUUAGUGUCCAAAGAACUCCUCAAAGUUUGCAUAAUCGAAUAGUCAACUGUGAUGAUUAAUAGCCUCAUGUGUUAAAUAUAAUAUGAGACCUAUAGUUUCUCUAUAAGUCUUCAAUCUUAUUAUAGACAUGGAAUUUAUAGACACAGAAUGACAUUACCUGGAUGCGAAUUUUUCAUUACGCUUUCAAUAUGGUAUUCUUUGCUAAUAUGGCUAAUAUUUUGGUCUCAGUUUAUGCAAUCUUUAUUUAUAAAUAAGCAUGAUAACAGAACUGCAAAGAAGCUUUUUUUUAAAAGAAUCUUUGAUCGGAUCUUCUAGAAUAAAAUAUUCAAGAAGAUUUUUAAGUGGAACAUUUUUAACCGACUUGUCAAUGUCAUUGUUAAUUUGAAUUAUUGAAAUAAUUUGAAGCAAUAACGAUUGACAACGAAAUGGAUGAAAAUGACGAAAUGAAGGCAUUAGAUAUCGUUAUUAUUCUUUUGUUUGUACUCAAUUUCUUGACCCAUCAUUGGUUUUGGUAUGGUUUUAUUCUUUAACAAUUGGUUUAUAAGUGACAGAAUUGGUUAAACUGCUUAAAUGACCUAAUCCAUGGUCAAAGAUAAUAAUUGGAAAUAUUCAAAAAGGAUUAAAAAAUUUUCCAAG